GUGCUUGCUUUGGCAGCACAUAUACUAAAAUUGGAAUGAUAGAGAAGAUUAGCAUGGCCCCUGCUCGAGGAUGACAUGUAAAUUCAUGAAACGUUCCAUAUUUUA
ensembl:snRNA U6 U6 spliceosomal RNA